UUACACGUAGACAAGUUGACCAUUUAAAAUAAGACGACUCCUUUAAUUAUACACAUGAGGUUUUAUGGCUUAUGAAACUAAGGAGUAUAAUUAAAGGAGGUGAAAUUUUUUAAAUGGUUUAACUUGUCUACGUAUAAUG